rnacentral:lncRNA from 12 species
AGUUGGUCUUGGCUGUACUUGGCCUCUGCCCAUGUGGAAUCAGGGGUUAAAUCCAUGGGCUCUUGUCCUGAUUUGGGAAAAGCUGCUUUUUUAAAUUGGGUCAUACUAGUGAUUGAUGUUGCUUUAAAAUAUCAAAUCAGACCAAGAAACACUUAUUUAGUAAGCAAGCUUCUGCACCUCCAAAAUCCUCAAGAGAAGAAGAAACUGAUAGCGAUCAAAGCCAAGCUUCCAGGACAAGAAUAAUUCUCACUCCAAUUCAAGAUAUUUCUGGGAGAGUAGCGUGUUCACAUGACAGUGGUUGUGCCCCAGAAUCUCCUUCCAUGCUGGUAACAACUGGGAGAUGAAGGUGUUGAAGGUGAUGAGAAGAAAGUCCCGACUAUGCGUGGACUGGAAGUCUGACUCUGCGAGUGUGAGGAGAUGCCAGAGCCCGGGCAGUGCUGCUGGAGCCCCAAGGAUGCAGGAGACCAGGUACUGUGCUCACACCCCAGGGGACCCCCUCCCCACGCUCAUCCACAGCUUCCUUUCCUGGUGGAGUAGAAAGCAGGAAUCGAUGGACCCCAAGAAUGGCAGAGGGGACAAGAGGGCAGCCUCGUUAUAAGUGGUGGGUACAGAAGGGGGUACCGGCCAUAGGACUCAGCGCCAACCAGCUGUGGCCACCACCGGCUCAGCUCCACACACGGCCCCACCCCUCCCCGCUUCCCCAGCCUCCAAGACAGGUUCGUCUACAGAUGGUCUCACCUCCUCCCCCACUCCAGUGACCAGUGGAAGAAGGAAGGCAGGCCACAGCCAUGUCAGUGACAGAAAGCCACCUGACAAAGGAGGAGGACAGAGCGUCAGCGUGAGAGUCAGGGCUCCGGAAAGCAUGUGCCAUCAGAGGAGCAGUGGGUCAUAGGACAACACAAUACAAGACAGAGGCCGUCCUGGGAUGUUCCCCAAAGGUAUGUCCUUCCAGGAACCUCAGAAUGUGAACUUAAUGGAAAUGGAGUCACCGUGGAUACAAUUGUUGACAUUAAGCUGAGCUCAUACUGGACAAAGGUGGGCCUUGGGUCCCAUAGGACUGAUGUCCUUGCAGGGAGAGGAGGGAGACCCAGGCCGCAGGAACUGGCAGGUGUAAUACACCAGGGGUACGGAGGAAGGCUGGAAGACGCAAGGAAGGGGCCUCCCCUGGGGACCUAGAAGGGACGCUGGUCCUGCCAGCACCCCCAUUUUGGACACCUAGCCUUCUGAACAUUAAGACCACACAGUUCUGGUGCUUUCACCGCUGUCCCAGGGCACGGAUACAGGGGACACCAAGUCUCUCUAUUGGUUCCAGAAAGGUGCUGGGAGAGCUGGCAACCCUCUGACUAUUUUUGGCUGCUAAACUGUAUUUCUUUGUAUGUGAAGCCGAGCAAGCCUGAGCCAUGUGGGGCCCUGGCUUAUAUUUGGAUUAAAAUGUGAUGGAGCUAAUGUCUAUUUCACAGGAUCAUUGUGAGGACUACAUGACACAGUCUGGGUAGCAUAUGUCAGGGUGCCUGGCACACAGGACAAUUACCAGCAGCAUGCCAUAGGUUUUCUAUUGAUUAUUGGCAGAAAAUAGGCGAAUGUAAAAUAUAAAGUAUUUGUUACAUUUCUCUCUCUUUUUAUUCUAACGUUUCUGACAAGUCUUUGACAAAACACAAGUGAGUAAAAAUUUUAUUUAAAGGUCUAUUUGAUGGGGCACCUGGGUGGCUCAGUCUGCUGAGCAUCUGACUCUUGGUUUCAGCUCAGGUCAUGAUCUCAGGGUCGUGAGACCGAGUCUUACGUUGGGCUCUACGCUUAGAGCGGAGUCUGCUUGAGAUUAUCUCUCUCCCUGCCCUUCCCCUCUGCUUACAUUCUCAAUCUCUCUCAAAUAAAUAAAUGAAUCUUAAAAAAAUAAAGAUCUAU